rnacentral:rRNA from 1 species
CACGUAGGGUGCGAGCGUUGUCCGGAAUUAUUGGGCGUAAAGAGCUCGUAGGCGGUGUGUCGCGUCGGCCGUGAAAACCUGCAGCUUAACUGUGGGCGUGCGGUCGAUACGGGCAUCACUGGAGUUCGGCAGGGGAGACUGGAAUUCCUGGUGUAGCGGUGAAAUGCGCAGAUAUCAGGAGGAACACCAGUGCGAAGGCAGGCU